AUUAGGAUCAAAGAUACAACUGCUGUCCCAUGGAAGCAGCAGUCAAGAGAGAGACCAAAAUGACAGUGACAGUUUUCCUGUGCAUCCGCUCUUCUGUUAUCUAUAGCUGAUCUAUGACACUUUGGGAAGAGACAGCU